AGUGCCAAACAUUACGAAGUUCGCCGUUCGCUCGUGCAACUUUGUGGUAGGGAUUAUUUAAAAAAAAAGUAUUUUGCUCGCCAAAUGUCUUUUUAAGUCUUUCAGACCUAAAUGCAAGGCGCCGAUGCUACCUGCUUACUCGAUUGUGACAUACCUGCAGUUAACUAUACCAGAAGGAAGACAUCUCAGGACAACCCGGAACGAGUCUUCAGGGAGUUUGCCGAAGAAGCGGCUACUCGCUACCAACACCAGAAGCGCAGAACCCGGGGCAAUGGGUAACAUCGCUGCUGACUCGCCCGAGCCUUGGGAACUUGGCUGGGGAGUCUGCAAUCUCGAGGCAAGCAUAUGCAUUUAUUAACAGUUGCUGAUUACAAGUGGCAAGAUAAGCCUACCCCCCCCCCCCCGCAGACUUUUCUUCGUGGUUUUGACGAGUAUCUAGACGUUAUGCAUGUUUUAUACAAGUUGUGAAUUAAUAUUAUAUCUUGUGUACUUAAAAUAAGAUUUUAAAAGAAUACCAGUGAAUAAGAGAAACCAAUGAAUGUGCUGAUAAAAUGGUUAAUUAUUUAUUUACUGAAAUAAUAAUUUGAGUAAUAGUUUUGUAUGUCUGUGAACUUGUAAUGAAAUAAUUAAUGUUAUUGAAACAUCUCGAGUUUGCUCCUUGGUAGAUUUUUGCAGUUUCACUUAGCUUCUUAAUAGAUUAUAAAAUAGUUCAACAUAACUACUGACAGAGAAUAUGUUGAGAAGGAUAAGGUAGGUACCUAUUAGUGCACGAUAACCAGUUAAUUAAUUUUUGCAGUGCACAAGAAAAUAAAACCCAAGUGUAUAAAGUUUAAUUAUAUGAUUAUUUUAUAACUGUUAAGCUCAUAGUUUAUAUCUUUGUUAUAGUAUUGGUUUGGAGAUAUCUCGCUGGAUUAGCCAAUGGAAACAUUUAAAAUUUAUGUGAAGCAAGAGCCAUACAUUAUACUGUGUGUCUGGGUUAUAUAGCUUGUGCUCGUUCAUGAAUAAAAUUGUGCUUGCAUAUAGA